GUUGUAUAUUUAUUAGUAACAGAAGUGCAGCAGAAAAGUGAAGUUAAUUAUUUUGUUAUACACAAAGUUUCAAGUGAAAAAACGAGAAAAAACAAUUUUGUAUAAUUAAUUAACUAUUAUAUUACAAAGAAAAAAUCAUCAUAGAAAGAAAUAUUAAUCUAUAUAAACACAUAUAUUUAUUUGAUCGAAUAUUUAUAGAAAAAAUCGAAGAAUUUUAAAAUACAUACACAACAAACAAAUUAAAUAAAGAAAAGGAAAAAUUAUUUUUAGAGAAAUCGACGAGUGUUUAUUUUUGAAUUUAUUUUUACAAGUGUAUAUAAAAAAAAUAAAAAUCAAUUUUAUUUUUGUGAAAAAAAUUCCAUAAAAAAAAUCAGAUUAAUUUUGGAAAUUUAAAAAAAGUUUAAAAAUCAGAAUGUCAUCUAUCAUGGCCGAAGGAUAUAUCAUGAAUUUUAAUCAAGAUUUUACUUCCAUAUCGGUAUUGAGCAAAAAUGGCUUUCGUUUGUUUACGAUCAAUGCAUGCGAUAAGAUUGAUGAGAUUUUCGCCAAGGAGAACACAGAACAAAUACGCAUUGUCGAGAGGCUAUUCAAUAGUUCCCUAGUAGUGCUGGUCACUCAACAAAAACCCAACUGCUUGAAGAUGCUGCAUUUCAAAAAGAAACAGGACAUCUGCAAUUGUGUCUAUCCCUCGGACAUAUUGUGUGUGCGUAUGAAUCGUUUUCGUUUGAUUGUUUGCCUGGCGGAAAGCAUACAUAUUCACGAUAUACGCGACAUGAAAAUCUUACAUUCCAUCGAGAAUAUAGCACCAAAUGAGUAUGGUUUGUGUUCACUAUCCUUGAAUUCACAUUUGGCAUUUCCCAUUUGCACCACCAGCGGCGAGUUACGGAUCUUCAAUGCGAAUAAACUAAAAACAGGUCUAACGAUUAAGGCACACGAUACGGCUUUGUCGGCCUUAAAUUUCUCACCGAAUGGCACUAUGCUGGCAACAGCAUCGGAGCGUGGUACUGUGAUACGGGUGUUUUGUGUUAAAAAUGGCCAAAGAGUGCAAGAGUUUAGACGAGGCGUUAAACGAUGUGUGAGAAUAGCAUCGCUGGUGUUUUCCACAACAGGAGAUUUCUUGUGCGCCUCUUCAAAUACGGAGACAGUGCAUAUAUUUAAGAUAGAUGUAAAGGCAGUGGAGGCAGCAGAGAGAAAAUCAAGUAUAGUUUGUGAUGAUUCCAAAAAACUUAAUGCAACUUCUUCUCCUUCCACAUCUACCACUAAAGAAGAGGCUUCUUCCACAACUACUGCAAAUUGUGCUGCUAACAGUACAACUACAACUGAAACUCCCGCUGCUGUAAAUCCCUCCACUAAUCCAACACCUGCCUCAACAACAACUUCAAAUAAUUCCUGGUCCAUGAGUGGCUAUCUAUCCAAAGCGGUCUCCUCUUAUCUGAUACCUUCACAGAUAGGCGAUGUCUUGGCCCAAGACAGAGCUUUCGCUACGGCAGUAUUAGGCCAACCGGGUCUUAAACAUGUUUGCGGUUUGUCACGCAUACAAAAGGAACUGCGUUUGCUAAUGGCUUGUGAAGAUGGUUUCCUUUAUGUGUACGAUUUUAAUAGUGAAAAGGGUGGAGCCUGUAAACUAUUGCAUGUUCAUGAUUUACGUUAUACUUUGGAAGGUGUUAUAGAACUAAACCUUAGCGAUAGCAUGGAUAAAAUAUCUCUAUCUGGCCUGUUACCCUCCACACCCACUACAAAUCCCUCCUCCGGUUUCUCAGCCGAUAAAACUCCCAUUUCAGCGGCUGAAUCGCAGCAUUCCAAGGAUUCAACAUCCUCAACGCCCUCUCCACACAGCAAAUCUAGUUCACUGAGCAGUGUUAGUGUAAUAAUUGAAAAUCCUGAACCUUCUGCGGACAAUUCGUAUGCUAGCAUUCUGAAGGGCUCUGAACAAACGGUGAAUGCUACUUUGACAGGUAUUAAGACCUAAUUUUUUCAUUAUUUUAUCACUUAUGGAGGGAAUAACAAACAUAUAAUUUCAUUGCAAUAACUAAGCAGAUUCUGCCAAAUUUCGAAAACUCUGUGAUGCCAUUGACACGCCUUCUAAGCUGUACGAUGAGCGACAAUUUCCUCCUGUAGCCAUAGCAGCCAAAGAUUGACACAAAAACCCUGCCAACAAGGCUCAGCGUUUCAAGGAUCUAAACAUGACAUAAUGGAUUUUUAUAAACAUAACCUAAAAAAAAAGAAUUUAAAAAAAUUUUAAAAUAUUUACACAGAAAAAUCUCCUCCCAAAAAAAUUUAAAAAAAUGUAAAAAUACAUUAAAAAAAGAACUAUACAAGUAUUAAAAUACUUAAAAUAUUUAAAAAAAAGUUUAAGAUUUAAAAAAAAUAAAUGCUACUAAACAAAAUUUGUCAUACCUAAAGAAAAGGUUUUUGGUUGAGCCUGUUUUGUAUUUUGAAAACAUUUAGGCUUUGAUACAGAAUUAUUUCUCGUUUUUCUGAAUCAAACCUUAAAUUAUUUUACUUAUUUAAAGAAAAAAAUUUAGUUUAAUUUAUUUUAUUAGCAUUUAAUAUAACAAACAGCAAUUUUAUUAGUUUAUUAAGCUUUGUUUUUUAUGUUGGAAAAUUUUUAUCAAAGAAUAAAAAAAACAAAAAAACACUUUAAAGAAAAGUUCAAAUUAGUUGAAAUUAAUUAUAAAUUAUAUUAUUACUUACUAUGGAUAAUACAUAACAUUAACAACAAAAAAAAUACUCUCUUAUCUGUAAUGCAAAUAAGAUAAUUAUAAAAAUUUAUUCAACAAAAAUAUAUAUUUAUAAAAACUUAUAAUUGGCUUCCUACUUUCUCGGUUUUACAACCAAAAUGGUUUCUAAAGCUUAAAGUUUUAGACUAAACACCUUCUAAAGAUUCCCUUCAACCUUCAAUCUCUUCAAUUACUUAAGACAAUCUCAAUUUAUUUUUCUAAUUAUAUAAACUUCGUUUAACUAAAUUUGUUUCUUUGUAAAAAUAUUAAUAUUCAAUUGAUAUAAAUUUAAAUAAAAUAAAAACUCUUCAUAUGUACCUUAUAAAUGUAAAAUAAAUAAUUUAUUAAUUAGUAAAUGUUUACACUUAGUUUUUAGCCCAAAAUACUUGUGUAAUAUGUAAUAAACAAACAAAAAAAAAAACUAAAAACAUGUGAAAUUAUAAAGAGUAUUGAGUAAAAAUAAACAUAAAAAAACACGAAGGACGAAGAAGCAAAAGAGAAA